rnacentral:rRNA from 1 species
UGUCUUAACGGCUCUCGGGGGCGGGUUUCUCGGGUCUCGGAUCGGUGGAGGACCGAGGAGAAUGCGGUUCUUAGGGUGGAUUGCAGGGUCCCGGGGGCCCUCGGGUCUUUGAACGCAAGUUGGGCCCGAAGCCUUUAGGCCGGGGGGCCGCUUCCUUGGCCUCCCCCCU